GAGUUUGAUCGUAGCUCAGAGUGAACGCUGGCGGCAGGCCUAACACAUGCAAGUCGAGCGGCAGCGCGGGGCAACCUGGCGGCGAGCGGCGGACGGGUGAGGAAUACAUCGGAAUCUACCCAGUCGUGGGGGAUAACGUAGGGAAACUUACGCUAAUACCGCAUACGACCUGAGGGUGAAAGCAGGGGACCGCAAGGCCUUGCGCGAUUGGAUGAGCCGAUGUCCGAUUAGCUAGUUGGUGAGGUAAAGGCUCACCAAGGCGACGAUCGGUAGCUGGUCUGAGAGGAUGAUCAGCCACACUGGAACUGAGACACGGUCCAGACUCCUACGGGAGGCAGCAGUGGGGAAUAUUGGACAAUGGGCGCAAGCCUGAUCCAGCCAUGCCGCGUGUGUGAAGAAGGCCU
rnacentral:rRNA from 1 species